GAUGAACGCUAGCGGGAGGCCUAACACAUGCAAGCCGAGCGGUAUUGUUUCUUCGGAAAUGAGAGAGCGGCGUACGGGUGCGGAACACGUGUGCAACCUGCCUUUAUCUGGGGGAUAGCCUUUCGAGAGGAAGAUUAAUACUCCAUAAUAUAUUGAACGGCAUCGUUUAAUAUUGAAAGCUCCGGCGGAUAGAGAUGGGCACGCGCAAGAUUAGCUAGUUGGUGAGGUAACGGCUCACCAAGGCGAUGAUCUUUAGGGGGCCUGAGAGGGUGAUCCCCCACACUGGUACUGAGACACGGACCAGACUCCUACGGGAGGCAGCAGUGAGGAAUAUUGGUCAAUGGGUGCAAGCCUGAACCAGCCAUCCCGCGUGAAGGACGACUGCCCUAUGGGUUGUAAACUUCUUUUGUAUAGGGAUAAACCUACCCUCGUGAGGGUAGCUGAAGGUACUAUACGAAUAAGCACCGGCUAACUCCGUGCCAGCAGCCGCGGUAAUACGGAGGGUGCAAGCGUUAUCCGGAUUUAUUGGGUUUAAAGGGUCCGUAGGCGGACUUAUAAGUCAGUGGUGAAAGCCUGUCGCUUAACGAUAGAACUGCCAUUGAUACUGUAAGUCUUGAGUAUAUUUGAGGUAGCUGGAAUAAGUAGUGUAGCGGUGAAAUGCAUAGAUAUUACUUAGAACACCAAUUGCGAAGGCAGGUUACCAAGAUAUAACUGACGCUGAGGGACGGAAGCGUGGGGAGCGAACAGGAUUAGAUACCCUGGUAGUCCACGCCGUAAACGAUGCUAACUCGUUUUUGGGCUUUAGGGUUCAGAGACCAAGCGAAAGUGAUAAGUUAGCCACCUGGGGAGUACGCUCGCAAGAGUGAAACUCAAAGGAAUUGACGGGGGCCCGCACAAGCGGUGGAUUAUGUGGUUUAAUUCGAUGAUACGCGAGGAACCUUACCAAGACUUAAAUGGGAAUUGACAGUUUUAGAAAUAGAACUUUCUUCGGACAAUUUUCAAGGUGCUGCAUGGUUGUCGUCAGCUCGUGCCGUGAGGUGUUAGGUUAAGUCCUGCAACGAGCGCAACCCCUGUCACUAGUUGCCAUCAUUCAGUUGGGGACUCUAGUGAGACUGCCUACGCAAGUAGAGAGGAAGGUGGGGAUGACGUCAAAUCAUCACGGCCCUUACGUCUUGGGCCACACACGUAAUACAAUGGCCGGUACAGAGGGCAGCUACACAGCGAUGUGAUGCAAAUCUCGAAAGCCGGUCUCAGUUCGGAUUGGAGUCUGCAACUCGACUCUAUGAAGCUGGAAUCGCUAGUAAUCGCGCAUCAGCCAUGGCGCGGUGAAUACGUUCCCGGGCCU
rnacentral:rRNA from 1 species